CCCUCAGAGGACUUCUUAACUAUUGUCUCCAUAUCUUUUUGAAUGCCUCAAAAAUGGUUUACUGACUUUGCCUGCAUUUCUGAAAAAGGUCGACUUCUCCUAUGCGGUUUUAAAAAGUUCCUAAUUUUUCAGUGUAAUGAGUUUUUGGAAACCAGUCCUUUCUUGUUCUAGUCAAAUUAUCCAGAAAAUUUGAUAUGUCAAACAGAUGUACGUGUAUUUUUAGAUGAGUGUGUGAUAUGCUUAUACCCUUGACUCAGUGUAAUGUGUUUUCAAGUUCUUAGAUAUUUACUGAGAUGAUUUAGCCAGUUAUCUUUCCUACCAGAUUACAUAGAGUUAAGUUUUAUAAGUGAAUUUAUUCUUCUGGGUUACUGACUGGCCUCAACAGUGCCUUAAAAUAAUAAUUCAUUAUUUUGUAACUCUUUAAAUCUCAAAACCUAUGCAGUAAUACUGUAGUGUGAUCAUCUGGAAUUUACAGCUGGGGAAACAGGCCUAAACCCAGAGAGUGGUUUGGUAAUCUGCCCAAGGUUAUACAGCUAGCAGACAGUAAUGAUUUGAUUUCUGGUGUCUCUGACUUCAGAGAUCUUUGGCUUUACGAUAAUAUACUGGAAGGCACUGGAAAUCAGACUAUAUCAUUAAGAAAACAGUAGUGAAGAACUGGGGUUUUUGAGGAAUUGACCACAAUGGUGUUUCUGUCUACUUUCUAAAUUGAAAUAAAUUUUAAAUAUACUAAUAAAAAAACAAUAAUCCCCCAGAAUGUCCUUUUUUUUUUUUUUUUUUCUGGCCAAGCGGCUUGUGGGAUUUUAGUUCCCCAACCAGUGAUAGAACCUGGGCCCUUAGCAGCGAAAGCGUGGAGUCCUAACCGCUGGACUGCCAGAGAAGUCCCAGAAUUUCACUUUUUUAAUGCU